UCAACAAACAUUUGGCAACUA
rnacentral:piRNA from 1 species